UACGGAGGGGGCAAACGUUUAUCGGAAUUACUGGUCGUAAAGCGUGCGUAGGCGGCUGCUUAAGUCAGAUGUGAAAGCCCCGGGCUUAACCUGGGAACGGCAUUUGAUACUGGGCAGCUCGAGUUGAGUAGAGGAGAGGGGAAUUUCCGGUGUAGCGGUGAAAUGCGUAGAGAUCGGAAGGAACACCAGUGGCGAAGGCGCCUCUCUGGACUCAAACUGACGCUGAGGUACGAAAGCGUGGGUAGCAAACAGG
rnacentral:rRNA from 1 species